rnacentral:lncRNA from 1 species
GUCGACGGUUGCCACCUGCUUCGAUGGUGCAAUUCCAAUUUUAUUGUUCUCUCAGUAUAGGUUUCUAUAAGAGGUUGGAUAUCUAAAGAGCAGCGUUGAGCUAAGAUCGUGGCAUAUCAGAUUCAAAAUCAUGUGAUCUGACUUUUAGAUAUGGACCUUUGUUUAAACUCCAUUGUGUAUGCUUAAGUAAAUGCCCUAUAAAUUCAAGUAGAAAUGAAAUUACAAAAAUGUUGCUCAUCCAGGGAUAAAAAUCCCGGGUUUGGAGCCAGGGGCUGAGGUGGCAAAAUAUCGGCCCCCGAUGUGAAUCGCGUGGGUCUUGCAUGAUUGAAGAUCCAAGGCCGAGGUGGCAAUAAAAAUCUCGGGUUUGGAGCCAGGGGCUGAGGUGGCAAAACCUCGGCCCCAAAUGUGAAUCGUGUGGGUCCCCGCGUGAUUGAAGAUCCAGGGACGAGGUGUUGUCAUCUCGGCCUUAGAUUGAAACCCGGGAUUUAAUCCCAGGUGAUGAAAUUAUAAUAAAAAUUGAAGGCGAUUCAACGAUGUACUUAUUACUUUUAUAUAUAAUGUACUUGAUACGUAUGUGGCACAACAUGAUAAAAGUAAACAAAAAGAUGUCAAAACAAUAUUUUAGUGCAUGCACGACCUGCUCUUUGCUUUUCUUUCACUCUUAUGUACACCACAAGUCUCACAAUUAAAAACCCUAAACUAUAGGCUCUACAUUGAAGCUUCACAUACACAAACCAACCUUGUUCUUAAUUUGUUUUUAUUUAAAGAGUCAAUGUAAUUUGUUAAACAAGUGAGACUUGAAUAUGUAAUUUUGUAGUAUGUUUGGGGUCUAUAUAAAUAGCUAGACUUGCCCUAAAUAAUGUAAGACAUUUUGUAUAAAAAAAUCUUAGAAAGAAAGAAAAAGUAUUGUUCAUCUAUGCUUCCCCUAUUUUAAUCUAUAUUUUUCUUCGUUUUAAUCAUCUUCUGUGUUCCUCUGUUUCAUUUAGAAGUAAUUAUAUUACAUUAGUUUCAUAUGAGUGAAAUCUGUGCAAGCAUAAAUUUAACCUAGUUUCAUACAUGAGAAACUAGUGCUGUAAUACUUGAAGCUGUAGUCUUAGCCAACAUAUUUUUGGUAUCAGAGCGUUCGAGGUUUUAUUCGUGCAUUUUCAGUUGAGGUUUAGAAGCAAUGGUUUUAAAAAAGGAGGGCUUUUGUAUAAAUGAAAGGAUAAAUCUACAUGUACAUAAUUUUUUAUACAUAAAAGCGUCCUCCACUCACAUGGGAUGGGAUCCACCAUAAUAAAAUAUUCGACUGAACUCCACCUCAUGUGAGUGGAGGACACCUUGAUGUACAAAAAAUUAUGUACAUCAAGCAAGGCCCUGAAUGAAAAUGGUAAGCACAAGUUGUCAAUUUGUUCCAAUUUUUGAUGGGCAAAAUUAUGCUUUUUGAUGUGUGAAGCCGAGGACUUCAUUUUUUGCAAUGAAUCUAUGGGUUAUGGUAAAAAAUGGCUUCGACGAACCAGAAAAUGAAGAAGGGUUAUCAAAUGCCAAGAAGAAGAAACUUAAAGAAUUUAGGCAAAUAGAUGCAAAUGCGCUUUCAACACUACAUACAGCUGUGGUUGUAAUUGAAUAAACAAAGGAUUUAGAGAAGUUGGAGGUUGAAGAAUUGGUGGGUUCUUUGAAAGCAUUUGAGCAAAGAUUAAAUUGAUGCUUCGAAAGGUAAAUUGAGAACUAUGAUGCUCGGACUCUCCAAGAAUGGAGAAGUAUCCGUCUCGACACGGCAUGAUACGGAUAUUGACGUGGGAUAUGUGUCAGAUUCUUGGUUUUGAACUCAUACACGACAAGAAAAUGGAGAAGAGAAUGGAUGAUGGAGUAUUAAUUCUGGCUUGCGUUUGUGGCGGCAGCAAACCCAUUUAUUUCAAGCCUUGCGAUAGUAAUAAGCAGAAAUUUAUGAAGGAAUGGAACAUGGCAACAACAUUUAUAGCAUCUUGCAGAGAGGGAAAGAUGAGAGUUGGA